AUACGGAGGAUCCGAGCGUUAUCCGGAUUUAUUGGGUUUAAAGGGUGCGCAGGCGGCCAUUUAAGUGGGAUGUGAAAUACCCGGGCUCAACCUGGGAACUGCAUUCCAAACUGGAAUUCUAGAGUGCAGGAGAGGAAAGGGGAAUUCCCAGUGUAGCGGUGAAAUGCGUAGAUAUUGGGAGGAACACCAGUGGCGAAGGCGCCUUUCUGGACUGUGUCUGACGCUGAGAUGCGAAAGCCAGGGUAGCGAACGGGAUUAGAUACCCUGGUAGUCCGCACAGUAAACGAUGAAUACUUGUUUUCGGCGAUAUAAUGUCGGAGGCAAAGCGAAAGCGAUAAGUAUUCCACCUGGGGAGUACGCCGGCAACGGUGAAACUCAAAUGAAUUGGCGGGG
rnacentral:rRNA from 1 species